CACAAUAAAAUAUGAAGGCUGCACGCGGCUGUGCUCUCGGGCCAGUUUUGCGGAGGCUGAAUUAUUUAUUACCCUUGUCUUUUGCGCACUUGUUGUUUCCUGGGCGGGUUCGCCCGCCACCAGGACCACAUCAUAAACCUUUUUUAUGCAGUUGCAAUCAGCGUCAGUAUAACAAAUGUAAAUCAUUUA
rnacentral:misc_RNA from 1 species